rnacentral:lncRNA from 1 species
UUUUUUUUUAAAAAAAUUCCAUUUUCGCACAUCCCACCUUCUUCCAUCCCCCAACCCACAAGUGAAGCAGCGAAAUUUUCUGGUUGAAGAAGCAGAUCGAAGAAAUGGGACUCCUCAGUACUUGAAGCAGCGAAAGGCCGAAGGCCCUAAUCGGAAAACGGUGAGCAUGUCGACAAUAUUUUUGCAACUAAAAAUCAACACAUUCUUCUUCUGGGUUUAAUCGGAAUGAGUUUUUUCAUUUCUUUCUGUG